GACGAACGCUGGCGGCGUGCUUAACACAUGCAAGUCGAACGGAAAGACCCUGCUUUUGUGGGGUGCUCGAGUGGCGAACGGGUGAGUAACACGUGAGUAACCUGCCCUUGACUUUGGGAUAACUUCAGGAAACUGGGGCUAAUACCGGAUAGGAGCUCCUGCUGCAUGGUGGGGGUUGGAAAGUUUCGGCGGUUGUGGAUGGACUCGCGGCUUAUCAGCUUGUUGGUGGGGUAGUGGCUUACCAAGGCUUUGACGGGUAGCCGGCCUGAGAGGGUGACCGGCCACAUUGGGACUGAGAUGCGGCCCAGACUCCUACGGGAGGCAGCAGUGGGGAAUAUUGCACAAUGGGCGGAAGCCUGAUGCAGCAACGCCGCGUGCGGGAUGACGGCCUUCGGGUUGUAAACCGCUUUCGCCUGUGACGAAGCGUGAGUGACGGUAAUGGGUAAAGAAGCACCGGCUAACUACGUG
rnacentral:rRNA from 1 species